rnacentral:rRNA from 1 species
UUUGCUGGCGACCGGCGCACGGGUGAGUAACACGUAUCCAACCUGCCCUUUACUCGGGGAUAGCCUUUCGAAAGAAAGAUUAAUACCCGAUAGUAUAAUGAUUCCGCAUGGUUUCAUUAUUAAAGGAUUCCGUAAAGGAUGGGGAUGCGUUCCAUUAGGUUGUUGGUGAGGUAACGGCUCACCAAGCCUUCGAUGGAUAGGGGUUCUGAGAGGAAGGUCCCCCACAUUGGAACUGAGACACGGUCCAAACUCCUACGGGAGGCAGCAUG